rnacentral:rRNA from 1 species
UACACUCCUACGGGAGGCAGCAGUGGGGAAUUUUGGACAAUGGGCGAAAGCCUGAUCCAGCCAUGCCGCGUGCAGGAUGAAGGCCUUCGGGUUGUAAACUGCUUUUGUACGGAACGAAACGGCCUUUUCUAAUAAAGAGGGCUAAUGACGGUACCGUAAGAAUAAGCACCGGCUAACUACGUGCCAGCAGCCGCGGUAAUACGUAGGGUGCAAGCGUUAAUCGGAAUUACUGGGCGUAAAGCGUGCGCAGGCGGUUAUGUAAGACAGUUGUGAAAUCCCCGGGCUCAACCUGGGAACUGCAUCUGUGACUGCAUAGCUAGAGUACGGUAGAGGGGGAUGGAAUUCCGCGUGUAGCAGUGAAAUGCGUAGAUAUGCGGAGGAACACCGAUGGCGAAGGCAAUCCCCUGGACCUGUACUGACGCUCAUGCACGAAAGCGUGGGGAGCAAACAGGAUUAGAAACCCUAGUAGUCCCA